UGUUUUGUGGCUUAGUUGGUUAAAGCGUCUUUCUGAAGUCGUAGGUACGAAUCCCACCAGAACAA
rfam:Aedes albopictus isolate Foshan contig13705, whole genome shotgun sequence.